rnacentral:lncRNA from 1 species
UCAGACCCCUUCCUCCCUUCGCUUAGUACCCACUCUAUGUUCAGGACAUGAGUGUGACUGUCCUUCUGUGUUCUCACCCAGGGUCUCACCAGGUUCUUUGUCUUUCAUUUUGCAUCAGGGAUGACUUGUAUAUAGUGUGGAAAUUUUCACUUUAAUUUUUUUCUAUAAAGAAUAAAAGUGUAAACAGUUUUCUUUCAUAAUGUGAAAUAUUACACCUGUCACAUGCUCAUAUGGGUGGAUAUGCUUUCGGAUUUUCCGUUUAUCAGAUUAUCAUUCUGCUCACCUUUACAACUGCUGUUUAUUAAAGUCCUAGAUGGUCUUUAUCUGUUAUGGCUUUAUCAUGACUAUCGUUGAUCGAGAAUUUAGUUUUUGCUUUGCUUUCUUUCUACUACUCUUUACAUUUGAAUAAAUGAUUACACAAUACCUUUUCUGGAAUCCAGAGAAAACCUAUUGUAAAUUCGAAGUUAUGGCAGAUGUGAACAUAAUCAGGAGAUAUUCUACUUCCAAAUACAUUCCUUGUAUUCCCAAGCAUGACUCCCAUAAUCCAAAUCAUCAUGUAAAGUUUAGCUCAUAGUUAUUAUUUCUUAAACUUAAUUUCAAAAUAUAUAUUUGCUCUUGGGAUUUAAUACUGGAAAUUUAUUCAAAGAGCAUAAUUGUUUAUGAUAAAGACAUUAAUAUUCUUGAAGUGUGUAUUGCAGUUAUUGUGAAUACUUCUGGGAUAUGAUGUCUGAUAUUUUCCUGAUAUUAUAAUUUCUGUGAUAGCUUUACAACGCCUGUGAUACUGAAGAUAUCUGUUUGGUCUAAUAUAUGGAUUCUGUUUAAGAAUUAAAGUACAUGGAUUUAUAAACUACUUAACUACAGAUUUCAUUAUUAGAUGUUUACAGGAAGUAUUCUUGGCUAGAGUUCAAAAGCUGGAGAUGUUUUCAUGGUGCAGCUUAUUUGUAAAUAUUGUGCUUAAUCAAGAUAAAGUUUUAAGUAGUUAAAAAUAAAAGAGAUACCUUGAAUAAU